GAGUUGAUCGUGGCUCAGGACGAACGCUGGCGGCGUGCCUAACACAUGCAAGUUGAGCGGAGAUAUGGAGAGCUUGCUCUUAUAUUUAGCAGCGAACGGGUGAGUAACACGUAGAUAAUUUGUCCUAUAUUGGGGGAUAGGCCGAUGAAAUUGGAUUAAUACCGCAUACAGCUAUUUAACCGCAUGGGGAGAUAGUGAAAGGGGAGACUUGAUAUAGGAGGAGUCUGCGGCACAUUAGCUAGUAGGUGAGGUAAGAGCUCACCUAGGCGACGAUGUGUAGCCGGUCUGAGAGGAUGAACGGCCACAAUGGAACUGAGACACGGUCCAUACUCCUACGGGAGGCAGCAGUGGGGAAUAUUGCACAAUGGGGAAACCCCUGAUACAGCAACGCCGCGUGAGUG
rnacentral:rRNA from 1 species